UCUACGCGUUGGAUGGCAUUUUCACAACACAACACACCGUGUAUACUUAUCAAACUGACACAGCUGUAGAGGCUGUGUAGUCAUGGCCUAAUAAUCCCACAACCAAAUUUAAUGCCUCAUACGGUUGGGAAGCUUGGCAGUACCCAACCAGUUUCCCCUUGUUGGCCUUUCUUCGUAAUUUCCUUAUCAACUCUUGUGACAUCAUCAAUCAUAACAUUAAUAUGCACUAAGUAACCGUCACACUAGAUUUGUCAUCCAAUAAUCCCUAAUUUUCUAGAAUCUGAAUUCGGCAUUGCAAAAGAAUGGACUUUGCAUGUAUGUGUUUAUAAGUAGUUGAGUUACUCUACAUAUUACCAAUUGGAUUUAUGAUAGACCAUCAACUUUCUCAUCAUGAUAUAAAUAAGAGCAAAUUGUUCUGCGUGUGAAGUUUAACAACCACACGUGCUCUAGGUCACCCAAAUUGUGUUGUGCACAUGCUAAGCGUGAAAAUUCUCCACACAGAGUGUGAUGAAAGUAUAAAUCGUUUAGCUUGCUUGAGUCCAUAAAUAGAUCUUUGAAGCUUGCAUAAUUUAGUCUUUUCAAACUUGGACACGGAGCCUUCAGGUUGAGUCAUAUAUAUAGAGCUUUUCCUCUAGGUAGUCAUUCAGAAAGGCUGUCUUCACAUCUAUUUGCCAGAUCUCUUAAUCAUAGUAUGCAGCUAUAGCAAGCAAAAUCUGGAUGGACUUAAUCAUGGCUACAUAAGAGAAGAUUUCUUCAUAGUCAAUCACUUGUUAUUUGUGGCCUUUGGCUACUAGUCUAGCCUUAUAAGUUUCCAUGUACUCAUUGGCGCCUAUCAUUCUCUAGACCCAUUUGUUUCCAAUUGGUUUUAUACCAUGUAGAAGGUCUAUUAGAAUCCCGACUUGAUUUUAACACAUGGAAUCCAUUUCGGAUUUGAUCAUGGCUUCUUACCCUUUUUUUAAUUAAUGUCGACAUUAAUCAGUGUAGUCUGUAUGGUCCUCAUUUCUAUCAUUGUCACUAAGAAAGUGCAACUCUCCAAAACUCUUAUCCAUACAAUACCUUUAAUGUAGGUUGCUGAUCCUGUUAGAUAUACGUGGAACAUGGGUUUAUGAACAUGGUUAUCAAUUUGUUGAGUGGUUGUUUGUGGUUCGUCAUUAAUCUCAUUAAUAUCCACCGUUCUAUUUGGAGCUUCUUUUCCUUUUGAAGCUUAGCAGUAUUGGUGACACAUAUUUUCUAGUCUUUAGGAUGGUAGAACUCGUAUCCCAUAGUUUGUUUGGGAUACCCCACAAGGUAACACUUGACUGAUCUCGCACAAGCUUGUUAUCUUGAAUCUUCUUAAUGUAUGUUUAACAACUCCAAAUAUUAAUAAUUAAGAAUGUCGACAUUAAUGAGUGUAGUCUGUAUGGUCCUCCUUUCUGUCAUUGUCACUACGAAAGUGCAACUCUCCAAAACUCUUAUCCAUACAAUACCUUUAAUGUAGGUUGCUGAUCUUGUCAGAUAUACAUGGAACAUGGGUUUAUGAACAUGGUUAUCAAUUUGUUGAGUGGUUGUUUUUGGUUGGUCAUUAAUCUCAUUAAUAUCCACCGUUCUAUUUGGAGCUUCUUUUCCUUUUGAAGCAUGUUGGUAUUGGUGACACAGAUUUUCUGGUCUUCAGGAUGGUAGAACUCGUAUCCCAUAAUUUGUUUGGGAUACCCUACAAGGUAACACUUGACUGAUCUCACACGAGCUUGUCAUCUUGAAUCUUCUUAAUGUAUGUUUAACAACUCCAAAUAUUAAUAAUUAAGACUUGGCUUUUUGCCAUGCCAUAUCUCAUACAGGGAACGUCUGUGAAACAAAUUUAGAAGGCACUUUAUCAAGCAAGUAAAUUGUUGUUUGUAGCGCAUAUUCCUAGAAUGAUAAUGGUAGAUCAGCAAAAAUCAUUUGGUUUCUCCUCUUAGAAAACUCCACUAAGUUAAGAAGUUUAUGGUGGAGUCCAUCGUUAUACUGUUCCACACUCUUUGAGUUAAUCUAGGAAUUCAUUAAUCAGAUGCUCAUCCCAUCGAUCUGAUAUUAGGGCAUUUAUCUGUUUUUCAGCUUGAUUCUCUACUUCAUUCUUGAAUUCUUUGAACCUUUCAAAAAAUUUUGACUUGUGUUUCAUAAGAUAUACAUAGUCAAACCAAGAGUGAUCAUGGAUGAAUGUGAUGUAGUAGGAGAAGCCUUUUCUUGAUGUGGUAGACAUAGGUCCACAUGUACAUUAGCGUGGAUUAACCCUAAUAUCUAAGAGACUCACUCUCUUCACCCAGUGAAGGGAGAAUUGGACAUCUUCCCCUUUAAACAAGACUCAUAAGUGACCACUUGGUUAUUACUUAAUGAGAUAUUCAUCUUUCGACAUCUUGCGAAUCUUAUCAAGGUUGCAUGUCCAAGUUUAAGAUGUCACGUCUUAACUUGAUUAAUUUCUUCUCUUGCUCUUUAGGGUUUUGAGGUAUUCCUACUCCCAAUACAGUGCAAACCAUUACAAGUCUCUAGGUGAAAAAGUACCUCGAUCAUAUUACAAUGAGAGAUGACACGACUGGUCAAGUAUAAAGCACAACUCAUCUUAUCAAACAAUAUUGAGUAUCCAUCUCUUAAAAGCAUAGGGAUGGAAAUUAAGUUCUUUAUAUAUGAAGGAAAAUUUAAACAAUUUUUAAGUUUCAAGAUUUCCUAGAGUGUAGUUUGGGCAUGUAAGUGCCAAUUCCUUUUGUAGAGAUUUUAGUGUCAUUCCCAACUCCCACAAUCAUCUUCCAAUUGCAGAUAUGUUGACUAGCAACUGAAUCAAAUAUGUAGGAGAUGGUCACUUACUAAACAACACUCUUUAUGAUAGAAAUACUCCCUUCAAAUGUUCUUGUCAUAAGGCUUGUGAUAGGAUUUUUAUUAAUUGUGCAAAUAGGGUUAAAAUCACGUAAAUUACUUGCAAGAGUACAAGGAAAUUAUAGUAUAAUCACUCAUCCAAGGUCGUCCUCCAUAAGGAUUUUUUUGACUAAUUUAUAAUUGAACUAAUUCUUAAUUAAUUAUUUAAAAUAGAUUUUAUCAAAAUUUUGAGAUUUUUGAAAUUUAAAAUAUUAAAAUAAUAAUAAAAGAAAUCUGGAAAUUUGAAAAUAACGGCAGCAAAGAAGGAAAAACGUUCUUUAAAUAAAAACAAUUAUGGGAAAGAUUAGGGUUCCGCCGACAUCAUUAACAAUUCUAUGCAAUCUCCAUCCUAAUUCGGCGGUAAAAUGAGUAGUUUCUACACUCUUUUGAGUUACUCAACUCCCCCAAAUAAGUACUAAUUUCACGUUUUUCAUUGAAAAGAUUAUAAAAAUAACCUCUCCAUCUGUCUUUGACUGUGUUCAGGAUAGCAAUAACAUUUUCAUUCUCAUCCUUGUUGCACCUCACUUCGAUUAGGUCCCUUGUCUUCUUUUCCCUUGCUCUAGCUAAUUUAUAGAUAAGGAGUGUGUGAGAAAUAAAAAGGGAAACAUGUCCCUAAACUUAACACCACUUGACACCGGUAGCUCUCUAAUCCAACUCUGUUAUCUUCUUAAUUGAAUAAUCCAAAUUCCUCUCUUGCAAUCUGCUCUAUUACUUCACAGUUCUCCAUCUUUGACUUCACUGGAGCAUCGUUAAUCUCCAUAAAUAUCUAAUUAAUUCCUUUUCUUAAUCAGAAAAUUAAAACUUUCAAAACCCAGAAACUCAGUUUGGAUGUUGAGUUAAAUGCGUCGGGUCUUGCGGUGCUGAUCCUCCAUGUCUACGAGCCCAUGUAAUUUGGUGGAAAAAAAUUCGGGCGGUUGCAAUGUCAAGGGAUUGGAUGGAGAGAGACAGAGAUGUGUUACAGAUCAGUGGUGGUUUUCAGGGUUGGGUCAGGGC
rnacentral:lncRNA from 1 species